ensembl:lncRNA
GAACAGGCCUGGGAAGUUGUCCAGAGUAGGACUCUGCCUGCUCAGAGGCCAGGCAGACAUCCAAGGGCUUCAGUGCUGGGCACAGCCCGCAUCUGCUGAGUCACUGUGGACACGACACUGGAGCAGGGGUGAGAGUGUCAGAUCGGGCCCCGGGUGUCUUGACGGCUGAUGGAGAGGAGGAGUCUGUCUCAAGAGAGAAUGUCUUGUGGCCUUUUUUGCACCUUCUCCCAGGGUAUGUAUGAUUGGCAAGGAUGACACCCAAUUGGAGCCUCAUGACUUCAUUAGAGGCAGAUUGAAUAGCAAGCCUUUCCUUGUUCUCUAGUCACAAUAUAUUAAUAUAUUUGACUUGCCUACUUGUUUAUUUUUUAUUUCUCACUGACUAGAAUGUCAGUUUCCCUUGGACAGGAUUUUUUUUUUCUAUUUUGUAUGUUACUAUAUUCUUAGAGCCCAGACUAGUAAAUGCUUG